rnacentral:rRNA from 1 species
UACGUAGGGGGCAAGCGUUGUCCGGAAUCAUUGGGCGUAAAGAGCGUGUAGGCGGCCCGAUAAGUCCGCCGUGAAAGUCCAAGGCUCAACCCUGGAAUGCCGGUGGAAACUGUCGGGCUGGAGUCCGGAAGAGGCGAGUGGAAUUCCUGGUGUAGCGGUGAAAUGCGCAGAUAUCAGGAGGAACACCGGUGGCGAAGGCGGGUCUCUGGGCCGUAACUGACGCUGAGGAGCGAAAGCAUGGGGAGCGAACAGG